rnacentral:rRNA from 2 species
CUAUACAUGCAGUCGAAGGGUGUAGCAAUACACUAGUGGCGCACGGGUGCGUAACGCGUAACCAACCUGCCCUUGACUGGGGGAUAGCCCGCCGAAAGGCGGAUUAAUACCGCAUAACCUCACAAUGUGGCAUCACAUAAUGAGUAAAGAUUUAUUGGUCAAGGAUGGGGUUGCGUAGCAUUAGCUAGUUGGCGGGGUAACGGCCCACCAAGGCGACGAUGCUUAGGGGACCUGAGAGGGUGAUCCCCCACACUGGCACUGAGAUACGGGCCAGACUCCUACGGGAGGCAGCAGUAGGGAAUAUUGGGCAAUGGGCGAGAGCCUGACCCAGCCAUGCCGCGUGCCGGAUGAAGGCCUUCUGGGUUGUAAACGGCUUUUCUCAGGGAAGAAAAAGGUGAUGCGUCACAAACUGACGGUACCUGAGGAAUAAGCACCGGCUAACUCCGUGCCAGCAGCCGCGGUAAUACGGAGGGUGCAAGCGUUGUCCGGAUUUAUUGGGUUUAAAGGGUGCGUAGGCGGCCCGUUAAGUCCGGGGUGAAAGCCUCUUGCUCAACAAGAGAACUGCCCUGGAUACUGGCGGGCUUGAGUCCAGACGAGGUUGGCGGAAUGGAAGGUGUAGCGGUGAAAUGCAUAGAUACCUUCCAGAACCCCGAUUGCGUAGGCAGCUGACUAGGCUGGUACUGACGCU